UACGUAGGUGACAAGCGUUGUCCGGAUUUACUGGGUGUAAAGGGCGCGUAGGCGGGAUAGCAAGUCAGUCGUGAAAUGCCGAGGCUUAACCUCGGAGCUGCGAUUGAAACUGUUAUUCUUGAGUAUCGGAGAGGAAAGCGGAAUUCCUAGUGUAGCGGUGAAAUGCGUAGAUAUUAGGAGGAACACCAGUGGCGAAGGCGGCUUUCUGGACGACAACUGACGCUGAGGCGCGAAAGUGUGGGGAGCAAACAGG
rnacentral:rRNA from 1 species